rnacentral:rRNA from 1 species
GACGAACGCUGGCGGCGUGCUUAACACAUGCAAGUCGAACGGAAAGGCCCUGCUUUUGUGGGGUGCUCGAGUGGCGAACGGGUGAGUAACACGUGAGUAACCUGCCCUUGACUUUGGGAUAACUUCAGGAAAAUGGGGCUAAUACAGGAUAGGAGCUCCUGCUGCAUGGUGGGGGUUGGAAAGUUUCGGCGGUUGGGGAUGGACUCGCGGCUUAUCAGCUUGUUGGUGGGGUAGUGGCUUACCAAGGCUUUGACGGGUAGCCGGCCUGGGAGGGUGACCGGCCACAUUGGGACUGAGGUACGGCCCAGACUCCUACGGGAGGCAGCAGUGGGGAAUAUUGCACAAUGGGCGGAAGCCUGAUGCAGCAACGCCGCGUGCGGGAUGACGGCCUUCGGGUUGUAAACCGCUUUCGCCUGUGACGAAGCGUGAGUGACGGUAAUGGGUAAAGAAGCACCGGCUAACUACGUG